GGGAAAGACUACCCGCUGAGUUUAA
rnacentral:rRNA from 1 species